UUAGCUAGUUGGUGAGGUAAUGGCUCACCAAGGCGACGAUCAGUAGCUGGUCUGAGAGGAUGAUCAGCCACAUUGGGACUGAGACACGGCCCAAACUCCUACGGGAGGCAGCAGUGGGGAAUCUUGCGCAAUGGGCGAAAGCCUGACGCAGCCAUGCCGCGUGAAUGAUGAAGGUCUUAGGAUUGUAAAAUUCUUUCACCGGGGACGAUAAUGACGGUACCCGGAGAAGAAGCCCCGGCUAACUUCGUGCCAGCAGCCGCGGUAAUACGAAGGGGGCUAGCGUUGCUCGGAAUUACUGGGCGUAAAGGGAGCGUAGGCGGACAUUUAAGUCAGGGGUGAAAUCCCGGGGCUCAACCUCGGAAUUGCCUUUGAUACUGGGUGUCUUGAGUAUGAGAGAGGUGUGUGGAACUCCGAGUGUAGAGGUGAAAUUCGUAGAUAUUCGGAAGAACACCAGUGGCGAAGGCGACACACUGGCUCAUUACUGACGCUGAGGCUCGAAAGCGUGGGGAGCAAACAGGAUUAGAUACCCUGGUAGUCCACGCCGUAAACGAUGAUUGCUAGUUGUCGGGAUGCAUGCAUUUCGGUG
rnacentral:rRNA from 1 species